CCUAACACAUGCAAGUCGAACGGUAACAGGAAGCAGCUUGCUGCUUCGCUGACGAGUGGCGAACGGGUGAGUAAUGUCUGGGAAGCUGCCUGAUGGAGGGGGAUAACUACUGGAAACGGUAGCUAAUACCGCAUAAUGUCGCAAGACCAAAGAGGGGGACCUUCGGGCCUCUUGCCAUCGGAUGUGCCCAGAUGGGAUUAGCUUGUUGGUGGGGUAACGGCUCACCAAGGCGACGAUCCCUAGCUGGUCUGAGAGGAUGACCAGCCACACUGGAACUGAGACACGGUCCAGACUCCUACGGGAGGCAGCAGUGGGGAAUAUUGCACAAUGGGCGCAAGCCUGAUGCAGCCAUGCCGCGUGUAUGAAGAAGGUU
rnacentral:rRNA from 1 species